CACAGCGAAUGACAUGGCGGACCGCGAUUGUGCUCACUUCGAAUGUGUAGAACUGACAAUUACAGAAUAUCUAGCAGUUAGUAUUCUAUGUUAACAUGAGUUUGCAGAAGAGAGAAAGUUUUUGAUAUAUUAUGUCCGUCUAAUUGUCUAUAAACAAUUGUAGAUUUUACCAUAAGUAGUAAAUCGUAGAGAAUUAGUACCUCGGUAAAACAUUUUAUGCUAGCCUCAAUAUCAAUUGUGACCAUUUGAACUACACCUGAUGUGAGCAUCGUAAGGAAUAGAUUACAUAUUCAUUAAGCAGUUCAUAUUAUUUAAAGUAGUAGGAAGCUUGUAAGAAAUAGUACCAUUAUUAGUCAGCAGUGACAUGAGUCAACACUAUAUGUAUUACAAAUGUGAAUGUUUGUUUGGAUGUUUGUGCGUCAAUCACGCUGAAACUAAUGAACGGAUUUUGCUGAAAUGUGAUAUACAGACAGGGUAUGAGCUGCUUUGGCAGAUUGGAUACUUUUUAUCCCACAGCAACGCGUGUGAAGCAGCUGGCAGAAGCUAGUCUUUAGAAAAGUUUGACCUGGCCCCAGAUAUAAGCGUUAUUUUUACAUUUGUCAUUUCAUUACACAUGGUUAUCACCGAAAAAUAAUUUAAUACAUGAUUUCACAAUACUGCCAAUUUUUAUAGUGUACAUAAAAUAGUUGCUAUUUGUUUCUUAUUUUAUUACAUACCCACUUCUUACGCAAGCACGAGCACUUGACCAAAAUGGACUUGUUCAAGCACUGUUUAUAUUUUGGCGUUAUAAUGAUUUUAUGUUUCAUCCACUUUGCCAGUACUUGUACCGUAUGUGCUGCUCACGGUUCGCAUAACACGGAUAUCAAAGAAAAAGUAUUUAAAUUCGUGCUACCCAAGAGCAAGUACCUAUAUCGUGUGAAAAAUCUUCCCUCGCCGUAUUAGUCUACUCAACGAAAAUACAACAACAUACAAGAAAUUGUUCAAUUUUUUUCAAAAUUUGUCACGCACUCACACAGCCGUCCACAGUCCAGUAAUAGACCUAUAUAUUGCAUCUGGCAGGCGCAACGAGUUCAUAGAAAACGGAUUUUGCGACGUGAAAAUCAAGACUCUCCUACGAAGUCGCCAAACAAAAAUAAUCAAAAUAUGGCACAAAUUCUUGAAAUCAUGAAUCAGUUGAACAACAGUCAAGUUGUUAACGAUAAGUUAAGUCGAGGCCUACUCAUGCAACAAUUAUUUAAAACGUUUACCAAAACUCCACCAAAGUCUUGUUUCAAAUGUAACAUGAAUAGAACAUGAAUUUCCUUGUAAA